AACCCCGUGGCUCAGUUGAUAGAGCAGUAGGCUGGAAAUCUACUUCUCCGUGGUUCGAAUUCCAGCUACGCUGGUUUA